rnacentral:lncRNA from 1 species
AUUUAGAUUGGAGUAGGAGGUUGGCCAAUACCCAAGUGGAUUUUAGGAUUUUUCUUCUAUUUGAUAAGUUCAAUUAUCUUCAAAUAUUGUGUGCUUGUUGCCAACUUAGUUUUUGAAAGUUGUGUAAAUUUUUAAGCAAGAUGAAUAAUUCAAUUAAUAGAUAUUGAGGUUCUAAAUUGUGCUAGGAUUAGAUUGAGUAGGAUUAGGGUUUGGUUUAGGGUUUGAUUUAGGAUUUAGGAUUUGACUAGGAUUUGGUUUAGGAUUUAGGAUUUUCUUAGUAUUUGAUUGAAGUCCAUUAGAAUUUCAACUAGGAUUAAAUUAGAACUUAUUUGAGAUUUAUUUAAGAUAUAUUUGUGAUUAUUUUAAUAUUUUUUAAGGCUUCUUAAGGAUUCUUUU